AACAUACUCCCUCCGUCCGAAAAAGCUUGUCCCUCAAAUAAAUGUAGCUAGCAACAAGUUAGUGCUUGAUACAUCCAUUUGAGAGACAAGCUCGGGACAAGUUUUUUCGGACGGAGGGAGUAUGCA
rfam:Triticum aestivum genome assembly, contig: Triticum_aestivum_CS42_TGACv1_scaffold_622847_7DS